GACGAACGCUGGCGGCGUGCUUAACACAUGCAAGUCGAACGCCCCGCAAGGGGAGUGGCGCACGGGUGAGUAACGCGUGGGAACGUGCCCUUCAGUACGGGACAAGGUCGGGAAACUGACGCUAAUACCGUAUAAUGACUCCGGUCCAAAGAUUUAUCGCUGAAGGAGCGGCCCGCGUCUGAUUAGCUAGUUGGUGAGGUAAUGGCUCACCAAGGCUACGAUCAGUAGCAGGUCUGAGAGGAUGAUCUGCCACACUGGGAAUGAGACACGGCCCAGACUCCUACGGGAGGCAGCAGUUAGGAAUAUUGGACAAUGGGGGAAACCCUGAUCCAGCCAUGCCGCGUGUGUGAUGAAGGCCCUAGGGUUGUAAAGCACUUUCGUUGGGGAUGAUAAUGACCGUACCCAAAGAAGAAGCACCGGCUAACUUCGUGCCAGCAGCCGCGGUAA
rnacentral:rRNA from 1 species